rnacentral:lncRNA from 1 species
UGGCGGCGUCUAGACGAGGAUCUUUUGUUCCCGGGCAGCGCUGUGGCUGGAGGGGAUUACCCCAAGAGGUCGCGUCCAGAGUGCCCCUGGUCUGCAAGGGGGGUUGGACAUUCAGAAGUCUGAAGAGGAAAAAAAAAAUACUUCACAAAAGCCCUACCCUCAACUCUACACAUUUAACUGAGACAGACGGAGACAUCUGGCAGGAGGACGGUGGAGCCAAGAAAAUUCCUAUAAAUUUAAAUUUGAUGAUGGUUACAAUUAACUCCACAACGAACGUGUGCUUGAACGGAAAGCAUUGCUGGCUGUUUGGACACAGCUUGAGCUUCACAUGAGAAAGGAG